UGUAACCUUAUUCAUUUCAUUUCAAGAGAAAGGAAAGAAGAAAGAAAUGCAACCCUAAAGAUAAGCUGGGGGCGAGGAGAGGAAGACGUUAAGCUGAGUACAUGGAAGAGUCUUCUAGCAACCUCCACCGUCUCCUUUUGCUACGUAAAGGUUCUUGCUACUCCAACACCCAUAGACAGUGAACUAUCAUCUCUUCAUCAGAGUUGCAACAAGCGCAAGUAGAUAGCUUUGCCAGAGGAAGAAAAGAACUUUUGGGGGGGAGCUUCGUCUUCCAGAACUCUUUCCAGAUGCCUUUGCAAUGCAGCGGCUCUGGAUAAAAGUCAAUUGUAAGCCGAUUGAAAUGGUCACAAACUCUCAUCACAUUUGGUUCUCUGAGAUUUCGAUUGAUAAUCAUCGGAGAGAGAAAUGGUUGAAACGGCAAAAUCCAAGGAUUUGAAGCAAUGUUGAUGUUGGAGCCAUCCCUAACCUUCCAAAUCAGUCCUCUUUUUCAACAACUUUGCGGCCCUCCAACAAGCUCCUCCAUCCCCACGAAGACAUUAUUGCGGUGGUUUUUUUCCAUUUGUAUGUCUCGUCACUGGUGGAUGUAUGCAUUUGAUGUCUCCGGAAAAAGGCUUUUCGUCCUAAAUAGUCUACACACUAAAUCACAUGAUACAUCACGGAUGAGGCUAGAUGCAUAUGCGGGGAGGCUCAUUGAAGACAUAGCUCAAGUGGUCAUCUCCACGUAGAAGCCCACUCUGAUAGGUCUGCCUUGCACAUACGCCUCUGUUCCAAUACAACCAAACGGGAUACCAUCAAGUUAUACAGGAUGAAAAUAAUGCUUGUCAUCAUUCUGAGUUAAAAAAAUUCAGCCAUUGGAGAUGCACUGAAUGCCCUUGACAGUCGUCCUCAAAGUGUUGUGCGCCACAACCAACCAAGGAACAAACGUAAAGAGGCUAGGACACCGUUCAUAGCACCUGGCACAAAGAGCAAGUUUUGACGAGCUGAAGGAUUGCUGAAGAAACAGCCCAUCUAAAGGAGCUAAACCCUCACAUGCUAAGCUAUAUUUUGUUGGAACUUGAUAUUUUUUUGCGUUUACACACACUGACUGUUUGUUUUGGAUUCUUAUGUUAUUAGCGGGUGCUUGUUUUAUGAACCUUGUUGAACUUUGUUGGGUGCUUGUUUUAUGAAUCUUGUUGAACUUUGUCGGUUAAUUAACGGAGAAUGCGUGUAUUGUGAAUGUGAA